GGUGACUGAGUGGCGGACGGGUGAGUAACGCGUGGGUAACCUGCCCUGUACAGGGGGAGUAACAGUUACGAAAUAGACUGCUAAUACCGCAUAAGCGCACGAUGGUAGCAUUACCAGGUGUGAAAAACUCCGGUGGUACAGGAUGGGCCCGCGUCUGAUUAGCUAGUUGGCGGGUAAGAGCCCACCAAGGCGACGAUCAGUAGCCGGUCUGAGAGGAUGAACGGCCACAUUGGAACUGAGACACGGUCCAAACUCCUACGGGAGGCAGCAGUGGGGAAUAUUGCACAAUGGGGGGAACCCUGAUGCAGACCAACGCCGCGUGAGUGACGAAGUAUUUCGGUAUGUAAAGCUCUAUCAGCAGGGAAGUAUAAUGACGGUACCUGACUAAGAAGCUCCGGCUAAAUACGUGCCAGCAGCCGC
rnacentral:rRNA from 1 species